UACGGGGGGGGCAAGCGUUGUUCGGAAUUACUGGGCGUAAAGGGCGCGUAGGCGGCCUUCUAAGUCGGACGUGAAAUCCCUCGGCUCAACCGAGGAACUGCGUGUGAUACUGGCGGGCUUGAAUUCGGGAGAGGGAUGUGGAAUUCCAGGUGUAGCGGUGAAAUGCGUAGAUAUCUGGAGGAACACCGGUGGCGAAGGCGGCAUCCUGGACCGAGAUUGACGCUGAGGCGCGAAAGCUAGGGGAGCAAACGGG
rnacentral:rRNA from 1 species